rnacentral:lncRNA from 1 species
GAAGUAUAUUUGGAUAUUUGUAGAUUGUGAUUAUCUUGAAUUGAUAUAUGCUAUUUUUGAGAGUUAUUAUCUAUACUUGGAUGUGUGUUGGGUACUAGGGAUUGCUGGAAAGAGAUUAUGGAAUGGGAUUUGGGUUGUAGUUUAUACUAGUCUGGAGUGCUUUAGGCACUACCCUGUGUACCUCCCCGAUUUUGGAAUACUUGGAUUGGAUACAUGGAAUUAUGGGAUACUUGGUUAUGUCGGAACCCGGGCACCCUUGACGGGGUGUUUCGUAGGCCCUUAGCAGGGUUAGUCUGCGCGCGUAGGACUUGUUACAGGCGUACGAGUAUUGAGGAUUCUACUGUACGUGCUGGUGAGCCUAGUCCCCCGGUUGGACGGCUCGUUCCCUGGCCACAUGGUCAAUUGAGGAUUCUUCCAUGUGGUCUAGUCAAACAAUCCUCCGGUGGGAUUGUUUCCCUGGUACAAGUUUGGUAGUGGUCAUACUUAUGUAUAUAUAUAUAUAUACAUAUACUUUCAUUCUUGUUUAUCAGUGAGAAUCCUUCCUCGCUCGCGGUGCCAACGGGCACGCGUUUUGG